rnacentral:lncRNA from 1 species
GAGCUGCUGUUUAUCUUGUUCCUACUACACUAAGCUCUGGAGAUUUAUUUUGAAAACUAGCAAAUCACAUGAUGAGUUCCUAGCAUGAUAAAAUUCCUAUCACAACCAUACUUGCUAUAACAUCUUUUGCUAGUUAUAUUCACAUUAAGUUUGAUCGAGCUGUAUAGACCCUUAGGAUCUUUUCAUGUGGUUAAAUUAAGAUAUUCACUUGCACACAUCUACUACAUCAUCCACCACCAUUCAUUAAAAUUGCUAAAAAUAUUAUCACUCACUGUCCCAAGUGUUGUUAUUCUCUCUCUCCAAAAAGAUUCAAUGCAGAAGAGGCAUGGGUUAUGCAAAAAUAUGUGAGGAAAUAAAAAGGGGCAAGUGCCCGGAACCUCGAAAAAGAAAGAAAAAAGAGUGAGACGAGAGGUAAAAAUGGACAAGUGUCCGGAGUAGAAUUAGGGGUACAAAGAUGCCCACUUGAGCCGAAAAAAUGGACAAGUGUCCGACAGUAGAAUUAGGGGUUUUUACUACCCACCUGAAAAAAAAGAGAUAAGAAGAAGAAGAAGAAGAGAUAGCCCAUGUUCUCCCAAAGCAAAGUUCAAAGAAGAGGAGAGAUAGC